UACGUAGGGGGCAAGCGUUGUCCGGAUUUAUUGGGCGUAAAGAGCGUGUAGGCGGCCGUACAGGUCAGCUGUGAAAACUCGAGGCUCAACCUCGAGACGUCGGUUGAAACCGUACGGCUAGAGUCCGGAAGAGGAGAGUGGAAUUCCCGGUGUAGCGGUGAAAUGCGCAGAUAUCGGAAGGAACACCAGUGGCGAAAGCGGCUUCCUGGUCCAGCACCGACGUUCAGGCACGAAAGCGUGGGGAGCAAACAGG
rnacentral:rRNA from 1 species